GCUCCUCACAUGCAUUCAAUCUGUGGGAUUACAAUCUCUGCCUCAUGGUUGGGCACUCAGCAGCAUCGUGUCAUAAACAACAUCAAUCAUCAUACCAACCAUGUGUGAGGAUACAAAGAUUUGCCUGUGUGCUUAAGAGAACUUUAAAUUGAACUCUCACAGCAGGUGAAGGGCAGAAGUUGUUUGCUCUGUGCUUGGAAUUGAUAUCACUUAAUUUCACGCAUUUGGGGAAGAAAAGUAUGCAAUUAGUAGUCUGUAGACAAGUACUUGCAAGUUUCUUCACAAACCCAAGAGUUUAACAGAAGCUGAAAUUCUCAUAUUAAUUGCCAAGAACUAGAAGCUGUUACCUUAAGCAGGACAGUAAAUACUGUAUCAAAGGCAGAAGUUGUGAAGUCUGAGCAAUUCAUAUUUCCAAAACUGGGUUAUGACUAAACUUGUGGAAGUUCUUAAUUAUUUAAAUUCACCAUUAACACAGGAGACUCCAAUCUACUUUCAGGGUUAUCAGAUUUGCUACAGAUUUUGAGAUCCUCACUAAAUAUAAUUGGCAAUUCAUAUUAUGACUUCAGUGGAGCUGUGUUGAUGGACACCAGAAGGUGAUCUCAAACUUCACCAAAAAAGAUGUAAUUUCCUCUAAAACUCCUGUUCAGAGUUAAAAAGAAUCUUGGAAAUGCCAUCUUUACCAAUCUAAAAAGCAAUCUAAA